CUGAGGCCGGACCUGGCCGCCUGGAUGUGGCAAGCUGCAGCUGCAAGCGCUUGGACCCCGGGGCAGCCUUCUGGAGGGCACUGUGCCCACCCCUCUGAAGCAGGUGAAGCAACCAAGGAAGAAAAGAACCAUAAAAACAAG